ACCAAUAAGACACACUCACAAAAAAAUGGUUAAAACAUCAAUCUAUAAUCAACUGUAAUUCAGACUAUUUGUUCAAAACUUAAUUCUUCUGGUAAUAGCAUGCAGUAAUAAAAAAAUUUUAAGUACAGAUUUAUUAGCAUUUUAUCACAACACAUCAUGUAAUGUCUUUUUUACUCACUUCUAUUAUCACUAUUUUGUGGGUUAAAUGGGGAAAGCUAAUCUUUCUCUCCUCAUUUUACAGAUAAGAAAGCAGUGUCCCAGAGGUGAGGGAAACUUCUUACUGCCUGGCAAGAGCCAGAGUCAAAACCAGGAUUUUUCACUUAAGGCAAAAAAGGAUCCCCCUACACUUUCACAAUAAUGCCUAUAUAACACAACAGGAGUGUGACAAUCUUCAUUUUUAAAUGUUAAAAAACAAUAUAUAAUAUGGUUUUAGAGUUCACUGCACAUCCUAUUAAAAAAGAAAAAGAUUCAAGGAUUGAGUUGCUAAUGAGCUUAUAUGUCUUGAAUUCCUUUUCUGACUAAAAAGGGUAUUUACCCAGACCAGAGCACUGACCUGCAAAAGAAGCCACUCUGGAGAUGAUGAAUGGCCAAUUUACAAAGUCACCUAUGACAGGUAUUGAAGACCUUUUGUGUCUUUCUCUUCAUCAUCCUCUGCCAUCUACAAGUACCCACAGGAACAUUUACAUCCAAGGCAAUGGAGACCAAUUCUCCAGUCAAGGUACCAGGGAAGAUAGAAACAACAGUCAUGAAAAUGAAACCCUUUCAAAUUAGUUAGUCCUAAAAGGGUGAAAGGCUCUAUGCUUCCUGUGAUCCUGAUUCUUUUUUAAAGAAUGCAAAGGACACAUUAACCAGGCCUAAAGAACCUAUUUCAGAGAAACAGAUCAUAAUUCCAAUAUUAAAGGCCUCUGUUUUAAGUUCCUAAAGCUUUGCUACUCAAAUCCAAAUAACUUUUAAGUGAUGCUGACAGUUUAGUAACUAUAGUAGCAUUCUAAACUUAGUGGACCUCUUUCUAUUUUUAUGCAGUAUGUUGCUUUCCCUAACAUAAGCAAUAGAGAACAAGAUUGUGUUGAUGCCCCAGGUCUAUAGCAGGGUGCUGCUCCACAGUGAAAGCACCAGAAUGUUUUGUAAAGCACAGAUUCUCAGCUUUCACUGCCACUAUCUUUAGCAUCCAGGACACAGCAUUUUCAAUAGGACAUGACCAUAAGUGAUUCUGAGAAGUGCACACUGCAUAUACUGCCAGCACUCAGCCUGGUGCACAGACAAAUAUACCAACAGACAUUUAAAAAACACCUGUGAGGUAAUAAGAGUUAAUGAAAUGCCCUAGCUACCAUCCCCAGCACAGAAGAGGGAAAAAAAUGCCAAUAUGGCAGAUACAGAUGAUUAUGACAGAAAAACCAAAGAAAUUCCAGACAUAAAGGAUGAUUUGUGCAAAGGCAUGUGAUUAUAAAAUGUUUGGGAAACAUGGACU